rnacentral:rRNA from 1 species
CGACCGGCGCACGGGUGAGUAACACGUAUGCAACCUGGCCGUCACAGGCGGAUAACCGGAAGAAAUUCCGACUAAUACAGCAUAACACUCCUGAGGGACAUCCUUCGGGAGUCAAAGGAGGCAACUCCGGUGACGGAUGGGCAUGCGGCGCAUUAGGUAGUUGGUAGGGUAACGGCCUACCAAGCCGACGAUGCGUAGGGGUUCUGAGAGGAAGGUCCCCCACAUUGGAACUGAGACACGGUCCAAACUCCUACGGGAGGCAGCAG